AUGAUUUAAUUGGUUUUAUUUAUAAUUCCAAUUAUUAAAGAAAGACGAGUAAGAAUAUUGUUGGUGUUCUUAACUCAAGAGAAAUGUUUUCAAUUAUUUACUAAAUUUUGAAAACCCGGCUAAGUGAAUCAUAGAAUGUUAAGCACUACACCAUGACUUAAGAUUAGAUUCAAGGAGACCUAUUGAGAAUAGAUUUCUUGUAGGCUUUGAGCAUCAGAAGGAUUAGCACUGCUAUUCCGAUUCAGAGAUAAGGUUAAACGACAGGCUUUGCCUAUACAGGUUGGCUGGCCGGUGCUGACGGGACGGAGCUGAGGCUAGCGAUAAAUUCCUAUGUUAGACUUCCGCUGUAGCAAUUACUCAUAUCAGUCUUUUGUUUUUCCAACUUAAGAUCUUCAUGUUAAAUUUCAAAUGAUAUACCUGACC